UUCUGCGGAAUCCCUUCGGGGAGGAAGUAGUUAUGACUGAGUGGCGGACGGGUGAGUAACGCGUGGGCAACCUGCCCCAUACCGGGGGACAACAGCUGGAAACGGCUGCUAAUACCGCAUACGUUCCGGAAACCGCAUGGUUUCUGGAAGAAAACUCCGGUGGUAUGGGAUGGGCCCGCGUCUGAUUAGCUGGUUGGCGGGGUAACGGCCCACCAAGGCGACGAUCAGUAGCCGGCCUGAGAGGGCGGCCGGUCACAUUGGGACUGAGACACGGCCCAGACUCCUGCGGGAGGCAGCAGUGGGGAAUAUUGCACAAUGGGGGAAACCCUGAUGCAGCGACGCCGCGUGAGCGAGGAAGUACCUCGGUAUGUAAAGCUCUAUCAGCAGGGAAGAAAGUGACAGUACCUGACUAAGAAGCCCCGGCUAACUACGUGCCAGCAGCCGCGGUAAUACGUAGGGGGCAAGCGUUAUCCGGAUUCACUGGGCGUAAAGGGAGCGCAGGCGGCACGGCAAGUCUGAUGUGAAAACCCAGGGCUCAACCCUGGGACUGCAUUGGAAACUGCCGGGCUGGAGUGUCGGAGGGGUAAGCGGAAUUCCUAGUGUAGCGGUGAAAUGCGUAGAUAUUAGGAGGAACACCAGUGGCGAAGGCGGCUUACUGGACGACUACUGACGCUGAGGCUCGAAAGCGUGGGGAGCAAACAGGAUUAGAUACCCUGGUAGUCCACGCCGUAAAC
rnacentral:rRNA from 1 species